rnacentral:misc_RNA from 1 species
GUUGCGUGAAUGAGCGAUCGUCAAAAUCGGAGAAUCCAAACUCGCAAAUAGAAAGAAGCCAUUUCCCCAACACUUUUCUUCUUCUCCUCCUCCUCUGAUCAAUUCUUCUGCAAUCCAAUUGCAAAAUAAUCGAUAAUCGAAUAUGAUUGAGGUGAUUUUAAACGACAGGUUGGGAAGAAGGAUAGAGUCAAAUGCAACGAAGAUGAUACCAUUGGCGAUCUUAAAAAGCUCGUCGCUACUCAGACUGGUACCCGACCCGACAAGAUUGUAUCCAGAAGUGGUACACCAUCUACAAGGACCACAUAGUCAAGGAUUACGAGAUUCACGAUGGCACGGGUCUCGAGCUCUACUAUAACUAGUUUCUCGUCCAUUCUCUCUGGUCCGUUUC